rnacentral:rRNA from 1 species
CCUACGGGAGGCAGCAGUGAGGAAUAUUGGUCAAUGGCCGGAAGGCUGAACCAGCCAUGCCGCGUGAAGGUCAGUGCCCUAUGGGCGUUAAACUUCUUUUAUAGGGGAAUAAAGGUAUCCACGUGUGGAUAUUUGCAUGUACCCUAUGAAUAAGCAUCGGCUAACUCCGUGCUAGCAGCCGCGGUAAUACGGAGGGUGCGAGCGUUAUCCGGAUUUAUUGGGUUUAAAGGGUGCGUAGGUUGUUUUUUAAGUCAGCGGUGAAAGUGUGUGGCUCAACCAUAACAUUGCCGUUGAAACUGGAAGACUUGAGUGUGGUUGAGGUAGGCGGAAUGCGUGGUGUAGCGGUGAAAUGCAUAGAUAUCACGCAGAACUCCGAUUGCGAAGGCAGCUUACUAAGCCAUAACUGACACUGAAGCACGAAAGCGUGGCGAUCAAACAGGAUUAGAUACCCGUGUAGUC